rnacentral:rRNA from 1 species
AUACGUAGGUGACAAGCGUUAUCCGGAUUUACUGGGCGUAAAGGGCGUGUAGGCGGUCUUGCAAGUCAGAAGUGAAAUUCCUGAGCUCAACUCGGGCGCUGCUUCUGAAACUGCAGGACUUGAGUGCUGGAGGGGAUAGCGGAAUUCCUAGUGGAGCGGUAAAAUGCGCAGAUAUUAGGAAGAACACCAGUGGCGAAGGCGACUUACUGGGCCGUAACUGGCGCUGAGGCGCGAAAGCGUGGGGAGCGAACAGGAUUAGAUGCCCUGGUAGUCCACGCGGUAAACGAGGAAUGCUAGGUGUAGGGGGUAUCGACCCCUCCUGUGCCGGAGUGAACACAAUAAGCAUUCCGCCUGGGGAGUACGGCCGCAAGGUUGGAACUCAAAUGAAUUGACGGGG